rnacentral:lncRNA from 1 species
ACUUGCACAGGGGCUCUCAAGGUGUUCUCCGCACAGCGGAAGAUGGCGACAGACUGAGGGUGCAUGGCCAGCGGGAGCCACGGGGCCGUGCCGCUGGGCUGCAGCCACAGCGGUGCGAACGAGAGGCGGAAGCGAGAGGCGCACUAAGUAAAGCCCGGUGUCUGCGUCCGGCGCCUGUGGCGCUGCCGGGAGCCAGGUGGCCCGCCCGAGCCGGAACUCCAGGAGCAGCGGGUGCGGAGCCAGAGCGGAGCCCGCCAGGGACUGGCCCCGGCGAACACCCGGAGCGCGAACGAAGCCCGAAGGGCCCGGCAACGGACCGGCCGGCCGGCCUAGGAGGGCGCGAGCGAGGCAGGGAGCGGCGUGGAGCGGGCAGCGGGCGGACGGGCGGGAGCGGAGCGGCGCGGGGCGAGGGGAGCGGAGCGGAGCGCGGCGGCGGGG